UGGUCUUGCUGGAUUCUAGUAUAUGAUUUCAGUUAGAGUGCAGAUAAUCAGUUUCUCACCAUUCAUUUGACAUUAAUCAGUUAUUUCUGUUUCGUAUAUAAACUAUCUACUUAUGAAAUAGAGAGAGCCAUAUCUUUCUGAAGAGUCUUUUAGAAUAUCACUGUCGGAAAGGGAGAGAAUGUUACUGGAAUAUAGACCACUAUUCCCUGUGGAUGGAGAAAGAUAAUAGAGACAGGGGCUUUUAUUAGAGUAGAAGGAUACUAGAUAGGGCUUUUAUUAGAGUAGAAGGAUACUAGACAGGGCUUUUAUUAGAGUAGAGGUUUACUAGGCAGGGCUUUUAUUAGAGUAGAAGUAUACUAGACAGGGCUUUUAUUAGAGCAGAAGGAUACUAGACAGGGCUUUUAUUAAAGUAGAAGGAUACUAGACAGGGCUUUUAUUAGAGUAUAAUGUAAAAAAAAAAUGCAACAUUCAACAAUUUCAAAGAUACAGAGUUACAGUUCAUAUGAGGAAAUCAGUCAAUUUAAAUAAAUUCAUUAGGCCCUAAUCUAUGGAUUUCACAUGACUGGGAAUACAGAUAUGCAUCUGUUGGUCACAGAUACCUUUAAAAAACAAUGGGCCUCAGGAUCUCGUCACGGUAUUUUUGUGCAUUCAAAUUGCACCUACAAGACAGAACAUCAGAUGUGUCCAUUGUUAAUUUAUACAAUAGUAUGUUUUCCUCUUGUAUCCUCUCCAGGUAACAAGCUGACUGGUCUGGUCCUCAGGUGCUGACUCGGACCAGUGGAAUUGUUGAGUUUCUUUCUUGUCUCCUCUGUCACAGUCCUUCCUACUCCCUCCUUCCUUUCUGACAGCCAUUCACUUAACGCUCGCUUCCUCCAUUAAACCUUGUACAUUAAUAAGGAAAUAAGCUCAUUACCGGAAAAUGAGACAACGUGAGACUACACAAGCACAGUGCCUUCAGAAAGUACUCACACCCUUGACUUUUUCCGUGUUUUGUUGUGUUACAGCCUGAAUUUUAAAUGGAUUCAAUUGAGAUUGUGUCACAGAUCUAUACACAAUACCCCAUCACUUCAUAGUGGAAUUAUGUUUUUAGACAUUUUUAUAAAUUCAUUCAAAAUAAAAAGCUGAAUUGUCUUGAGUCAAGUAUUCAUAUUCAACCCUUUUGUUAUGGAAAGCCAAAAUAAAUUCAGGAGUAAACAUUUGCUAAAUCACAUAAUAAGUUGCAUGGACUCACUCUGUGUGCAAGAAUAGGGUUUAAUAUUAAAAAUAAUUAUGACUACCUCAUCUCUGUACCCCACACAUACAGUACAAUUAUACUGUCGAUAAGGUCCCUCAGUCGAGCAGUGAAUUUCAACCACAAGACCAGGGAGAUUUUCCAAUGCCUCGCAAAGAAGGGCACCUAUUGGUAGAUGGGUAAAAAUCCAAAAUAAAACAGACAUUGAAUAUCCCUUUGAGCAGGGCCGAUCCUGGACGUUCUGCAACCCUAGGCAAGACACAAAAAAAUUCUGCCCCUACAAGAAUAGUCCCAGAAAGCAAAAUUACGUUGAAAAGGCAUGUAAAAUAUGUAUUUUCCAGACGUUGAAGGUAUUCAAAUUAAGUCCUGAAGGAAAGGUGAAAUGAUGUAUUUUCCGGACGUUAAAAUCAGGUUACUUGACGGUUCUGAAUGUUGAAAAUAUGUAAUUUAUAUUAGUCUAUGUUUAGGCCAAAUCAAGGCUGGUCCAGACAGGACAGAAUCUGAACCAAACAGAAACGUCUAUGAUUGGUUCAGAUUUGGUCCAGACUGGGCCAAAAAAUUAUGUCCGCGAAUGUGGAAAUCAAGGCCGAUCCAGACAGGGCCAAAAAAAGAUGUCCAAAAGGCAUCAGCGUCGGUCCGUGCUUACUGAGGUAUAUAGCCUACAGAAGGGAUGGGCAACCCCAGUCCUCGUCGGUCCGUGCUUACUGAGGUAUAGCCUAUAGAAGGGAUGGGAAACUCCAGUCCUCAUCGGUCCGUGCUUACUGAGGUAUAGCCUACAGAAGGGAUGGGCAACUCCAGUCCUCGUUGGUCCGUGCUUACUGAGGUAUAGCCUACAGAAGGGAUGGGCAACUCCAGUCCUCGUUGGUCCGUGCUUACUGAGGUAUAGCCUACAGAAGGGAUGGGCAACUCCAGUCCUCGGGGGCCAGAGUGGUGUCACACUUUGUCCCCAUCCCAGCCAUUAAACUGUCAACACAGCUGAUAAAACGUAUUGCAUUCUAAACUGAAGGAUCAUGAUUCGAAUUUUUAUGAAUUCCCAUCCAUGUGCUUUGCCCAGCGUUUGUAAAACAGGCCGUUGCAUUGGCUUUAUUAGUCCUGAUUUCUGUGACUAAUCAAUUUGGCUAUUUAAGCUCUGAAUAUCAGCUCCCCAACUUUAUCACGAGUUCUCCUGAGCCUAUUUGCCUUGUGUUUAUACAGCGGGAAAUGCAGCAGUAUUUUAUUUUUUGUCGUGAUCAGCUCGUCUGACGGAUACAAACCUCAAACCACUGAUCAUGACAAUUUAGGCCAGUGGAUAAAACUCCUGAGCAGCAGUUGUGAGUAGAUUGUCCCAUUCCAUAUUGACCAUUUUAUUUUGAUAUUUCCUGUUUUUAGGAUAUGUGUUUUAUUUGAUUGGUAUUUUUUUUUAUUUGAUUAGGUUAAGGUAUUUGAUUGGGCGCCAUUUAGGUUAAGGUAUUUGAUUGGGCGCGAUUUAGGUUAAGGUAUUUGAUUGGGCGCCAUUUAGGUUAGGCUAUUUGCUCGGGCACCAUUUAGGUUAGGCUAUUUGAUCGGGCACCAUUUAGGUUAGGCUAUUUGAUCGGGCACCAUUUAGGUUAGGCUAUUUGAUCGGGCACCAUUUAGGUUAGGCUAUUUGAUCGGGCACCAUUUAGGUU
ensembl:lncRNA